AACAAACAGUUGCCGCCACAAACACGUUACAAAGAACCCUCCUACACUUAAUUAAAUAACGUUACCAAGCGGACGCUACUAAAUCUCCAUUAAAAGUAAAUAGAUACCGCUUUCAACUUCCAUUAAUCGUGAACACCCGCACCACGAGACCGGAUGGUUGUUAACGGUUAUAAGUCAUAAGUGAAUAACAGUCCAACUUAGAAACACCCAGAACCCCAGGUUCAGUUUCACUAAGGUAGCAGAGAAGCGUUCCGCUGUUCAGGCGAUAUUGGAAGAUGACUGUGACUGCUGCUUAUAUUGGAAUCUUGGUUCUCGCAUAUUCCACUUUUCGGCCCGUGAGUAGUGCAUGCAGUGAUUGUUAUUGCUGCCUCACAACUUAUGACCAAUGCAUGGCCAUUUGCGAAGACCCAAAUCAAUGCACCAUCGUUUGUGUUAAUAGCAAGGAAAAAUGCGAAGAAAAAUACUGCAAUUUAUUGAAGCGGAAUCCAGAAGACCGGAGACUAAAAGCAAGUGGUAAUGAUCUUGUAUCGGUUCCAGACCUCGCCAGAGAUAUCGCACGGGACGAUAAGGAGGAGCUGGGGUUGAAAUAUUGGCUGGAUAAAGUUUUAUCAAAACGUAAACAAAACAUGAAGUAUUAACGCCAAAAAUGCAUAGGUCGUAUUUUUUUUCAUACUUAGCUUUCUCAUAAAUUUGUGGAACGAAGAGACGUAACAAGAUACUAGAUGUGCGUACUAUAUUGUGCUAAGAGCCUCCAUUACUGCUAGAAAUAAAGGUGUAUUUUGCCCAUGAAUCUGAUCUUUAAAUUCGUUGUCUACAUAACAUAUCAUUUAUGAUGCGGACGUUUCCAAUGUAAUGUCCUGAGAGAUUCUGUAGAGGAGGAGUAUUUUUGUUCUUCGAAGAUGAUUUUCGCUACUUUGUUUUGUAGGAUAGUUCACUGUUUUGUAUUGUUUGUUUCACCCCAAAUGAUAUGACCACAGUCAAAGAGUGCCGGGAAGAAUCAGGAAAUGGAAGAGUGUCAAGCAACCAUGUAAUAGUAAAAGAGCCAGGAUUUUCUAAA